GUGGUGAAGCUCCCAAGAGGGUAUCAACCCCAGCAUACUUGCAUGACUUGCAAUAUACAACACCUUGCACUGCUACGAAACUCCUUGGGAAAUGAUAGCUUGGUGAGUGAGCCGGAGGCUGUGGGUGUUUUGGGGGCUGAGCGACAGGUGGUUGUGGGUGUUUUGGUGGCUGGGUCGGUGGUUUAACUGGUGACUUAACAGGUGGUUGUUGGCUUUUUGAUGGAGAGUGCACGGGAUGUUGAACAGGAGGAUGUGAGUGUGGCAUUGGUGGGUGGACUGGUGCAUGGGC
rnacentral:misc_RNA from 1 species